GCUCAGGAUGAACGCUGGCGGCGUGCCUAAUACAUGCAAGUCGAACGCACAGCGAAAGGUGCUUGCACCUUUCAAGUGAGUGGCGAACGGGUGAGUAACACGUGGACAACCUGCCUCAAGGCUGGGGAUAACAUUUGGAAACAGAUGCUAAUACCGAAUAAAACUUAGUGUCGCAUGACACAAAGUUAAAAGGCGCUUCGGCGUCACCUAGAGAUGGAUCCGCGGUGCAUUAGUUAGUUGGUGGGGUAAAGGCCUACCAAGACAAUGAUGCAUAGCCGAGUUGAGAGACUGAUCGGCCACAUUGGGACUGAGACACGGCCCAAACUCCUACGGGAGGCUGCAGUAGGGAAUCUUCCACAAUGGGCGAAAGCCUGAUGGAGCAACGCCGCGUGUGUGAUGAAGGCUUUCGGGUCGUAAAGCACUGUUGUAUGGGAAGAACAGCUAGAAUAGGAAAUGAUUUUAGUUUGACGGUACCAUACCAGAAAGGGACGGCUAAAUACGUGCCAGCAGCCGCGGUAAUACGUAUGUCCCGAGCGUUAUCCGGAUUUAUUGGGCGUAAAGCGAGCGCAGACGGUUUAUUAAGUCUGAUGUGAAAGCCCGGAGCUCAACUCCGGAAUGGCAUUGGAAACUGGUUAACUUGAGUGCAGUAGAGGUAAGUGGAACUCCAUGUGUAGCGGUGGAAUGCGUAGAUAUAUGGAAGAACACCAGUGGCGAAGGCGGCUUACUGGACUGCAACUGACGUUGAGGCUCGAAAGUGUGGGUAGCAAACAGGAUUA
rnacentral:rRNA from 1 species